rnacentral:ncRNA from 1 species
UGCAAGACAACGGGGUGCCCGCUGGUGUGCGCACUGUGCUUUUUGCCCAAUGCGUUAGCUCAACCGGCGUGCUGAGACAACACCCGUCGAACCUGCUCUAGCUAGAACUAGCGAAGGGAUUUGUCAGCCAAUGCCUA